UACGGAGGGUGCAAGCGUUAUCCGGAUUCACUGGGUUUAAAGGGUGCGUAGGUGGCUUUGUAAGUCAGUGGUGAAAUCUUAGAGCUUAACUCUAAAACUGCCAUUGAUACUGCUUAGCUUGGAUCACGUCGAGGUGGAUGGAAUAUUACAUGUAGCGGUGAAAUGCUUAGAUAUGUAAUAGAACACCGAUUGCGAAGGCAGUUCACUAGGCGUGUAUUGACACUGAGGCACGAAAGCGUGGGGAUCAAACAGG
rnacentral:rRNA from 1 species